rnacentral:rRNA from 1 species
GAUGAACGCUGGCGGCGUGCCUAAUACAUGCAAGUCGAGCGAACGGACGAGAAGCUUGCUUCUCUGAUGUUAGCGGCGGACGGGUGAGUAACACGUGGAUAACCUACCUAUAAGACUGGGAUAACUUCGGGAAACCGGAGCUAAUACCGGAUAAUAUUUUGAACCGCAUGGUUCAAAAGUGAAAGACGGUCUUGCUGUCACUUAUAGAUGGAUCCGCGCUGCAUUAGCUAGUUGGUAAGGUAACGGCUUACCAAGGCAACGAUGCAUAGCCGACCUGAGAGUGUGAUCGGCCACACUGGAACUGAGACACGGUCCAGACUCCUACGGGAGGCAGCAGUAGGGAAUCUUCCGCAAUGGGCGAAAGCCUGACGGAGCAACGCCGCGUGAGUGAUGAAGGUCUUCGGAUCGUAAAACUCUGUUAUUAGGGAAGAGCAUAUGUGUAAGUAACUGUGCACAUCUUGACGGUACCUAAUCAGAAAGCCACGGCUAACUACGUG